GGUUAAGUGAAUAAGGGCGCAUGGUGGAUGCCUUGGCACUAGAAGCCGAUGAAGGACGGGACGAACACCGAUAUGCUUUGGGGAGCUGUACGUAAGCUUUGAUCCAGAGAUUUCCGAAUGGGGAAACCCAACAUCUUUUAUAGGAUGUUACUAUUCAGUGAAUACAUAGCUGAUUAGAGGUAGACGCAGAGAACUGAAACAUCUAAGUACCUGCAGGAAGAGAAAGAAAAAUCGAUUCCCUUAGUAGCGGCGAGCGAAACGGGAACAGCCCAAACCAACAAGCUUGCUUGUUGGGGUUGUAGGACUCCGUUGUGGUAGUCUUUUCAGAUAGUCGAAUGACUUGGAAAAGUCAGUCAAAGAGGGUAAAAACCCCGUAGACGAAAUUUGGAAGACACCUAGGAGGAUCCUGAGUACGGCGGAACACGAGGAAUUCCGUCGGAAUCCGGGAGGACCAUCUCCCAAGGCUAAAUACUCUCUAGUGACCGAUAGUGAACCAGUACCGUGAGGGAAAGGUGAAAAGCACCCCGGAAGGGGAGUGAAAUAGAUCCUGAAACCAUGUGCCUACAACAAGUUAAAGCCCGUUAAUGGGUGAUAGCGUGCCUUUUGUAGAAUGAACCGGCGAGUUACGAUUAUCUGCGAGGUUAAGUCGAUGAGACGGAGCCGUAGCGAAAGCGAGUCUGAAUAGGGCGAUUGAGUAGGUGGUCGUAGACCCGAAACCAAGUGAUCUACCCAUGUCCAGGUUGAAGGUGCGGUAAAACGCACUGGAGGACCGAACCCACGUACGUUGAAAAGUGCGGGGAUGAGGUGUGGGUAGCGGAGAAAUUCCAAACGAACUUGGAGAUAGCUGGUUCUCUCCGAAAUAGCUUUAGGGCUAGCGUCAGAUUUUAAGAAUGAUGGAGGUAGAGCACUGUUUGGACUAGGGGCCCAUCUAGGGUUACCGAAUUCAGAUAAACUCCGAAUGCCAUUCAUUUAUAUCUGGCAGUCAGACUGUGAGUGAUAAGAUCCAUAGUCGAAAGGGAAACAGCCCAGACCACCAGCUAAGGUCCCAAAAUUUAUGUUAAGUGGAAAAGGAUGUGGGGUUGCACAGACAACUAGGAUGUUGGCUCAGAAGCAGCCAUCAUUUAAAGAGUGCGUAAUAGCUCACUAGUCGAGUGACCCUGCGCCGAAAAUUUACCGGGGCUAAACAUAAUACCGAAGCUGUGGAAUGUACUUAUGUACAUUGGUAGGAGAGCGUUCUAAGGGCGUCGAAGGUAGACCGUGAGGACUGCUGGAGCGCUUAGAAGUGAGAAUGCCGGUAUGAGUAGCGAAAGACAGGUGAGAAUCCUGUCCACCGUAUGACUAAGGUUUCCAGGGGAAGGCUCGUCCGCCCUGGGUUAGUCGGGACCUAAGCUGAGGCCGAUAGGCGUAGGCGAUGGACAACAGGUUGAUAUUCCUGUACUCGUUGUUUUUGUUUGAACAAUGGAGGGACGCAGGAGGCUAAGGAAUGCAGACGAUUGGAAAUGUCUGUCCAAGCAACAAGUCUUAGUGAGAGUCAAAUGCUUUCACUUAUACGGACAAGUUGUGAUGGGGAGGGAAAUUUAAGUACCGAAGUUCCUGAUGUCACACUGCCAAGAAAAGCUUCUAGUUAGAAAACAACGACCCGUACCGUAAACCGACACAGGUAGUCGAGGAGAGUAUCCUAAGGUGUGCGAGAGAACUCUCGUUAAGGAACUCGGCAAAAUGACCCCGUAACUUCGGGAGAA
rnacentral:rRNA from 1 species